AAUACAGAGGUCUCGAGCGUUGUUCGGAUUCAUUGGGCGUAAAGGGUGCGUAGGUGGCUAGGUAAGUCAGAUGUGAAAUCCCGGGGCUCAACCCCGGAACUGCAUUCGAUACUGCCUGGCUAGAGUACUGGAGAGGAGAUUGGAAUUUACGGUGUAGCAGUGAAAUGCGUAGAUAUCGUAAGGAAGACCAGUGGCGAAGGCGGAUCUCUGGACAGUUACUGACACUGAGGCACGAAGGCCAGGGGAGCAAACGGGA
rnacentral:rRNA from 1 species